rnacentral:tRNA from 1 species
GGAGGGGCCAUGGCUCAGUGGGUAGAGCAGCUCCUUAGCAUGCAGAAGUCCCAGGUUCAAUCCCUGGCACUUCCA